GAGUUMYGAUCCUGGCUCAGGACGAACGCUGGCGGCGUGCUUAACACAUGCAAGUCGAGCGGUAAGGCCCUUUCGGGGGUACACGAGCGGCGAACGGGUGAGUAACACGUGGGUGACCUGCCCUUAGCUYYKGGRWWARSCYKGGRAAACUGGGUCUAAUACCGGAUAUGACCUCAUGACGCAUGUUGUGGGGUGGAAAGCCUUGUGCGGCUAGGGAUGGGCCCGCGGCCUAUCAGCUUGUUGGUGGGGUGAUGGCCUACCAAGGCGACGACGGGUAGCCGGCCUGAGAGGGCGACCGGCCACACUGGGACUGAGACACGGCCCAGACUCCUACGGGAGGCAGCAGUGGGGAAUCUUGCGCAAUGGGCGAAAGCCUGACGCAGCGACGCCGCGUGAAGGAUGACGGCCUUCGGGUUUGUAAACCUCUUUCAGCCCUGACGAAGCGAAAGUGACGGUAGGGGCAGAAGAAGCACCGGCCAACUACGUGCCAGCCGCCGCGGUAAUACA
rnacentral:rRNA from 1 species